GGUUGAGGAAGGGAGGGACGGACAGCCCUGAGGCACUCCGUAAGAAAGACUCCUUGCUCGGGCCCUCCCAAAGCCGGGGUCUGGCUUGGCCUCAACCUGAGGUGUACACAACACACAUUCAUGGAGACAACCCAAGAAUACACCACUUUGGGAUGAAGCUAAAUGCCAGCACCCUGACUUAACAGCCGACCUCAGAAUGUAACAGGAUCAGACAUUAUCCAUUGCCUGCGCUGUGAGCUGCUUCUGUUGCAGUCUUAUGAAUCCUGACUUACCUGGUGUAUCCAGACGAAUGCCGCCUCUGAUAGACCUCCUUUUUAGGUGAUGGGCUAUCUCUCUCUUUCCUGUUUACCUUGGAGGCAUGCCUGUAAUGGACACAAAGGAGACAAUCCUUUUCAAAUGUGGGAUUAUUAGGAUAUCCCUCAACCAGUGGGGCUCUCUUAAAAGUAUAAUCCACACCAGGUGGUGGCAGCGCACACCUUUAGUCCCAGUACUUGGGAGGCAGAGGCAGGUGGAUCUCUGUGAGUUCGAGACCAGCCUGGUCUACAAGAGCUAGUUCCAGGAGAGCCUCCAAAGCCACAGAGAAACCCUGUCUCAAAAAAAACAAAAACCAAAUAAAUAAAUAAUAAAUAAAUAAAUGUAGACCCCAAUGGAGUAAGAGUCUAGCAUUCCC